rnacentral:rRNA from 1 species
UGGCGGGGGCUAUAAUGCAGUUGACGCUUGAUUUUCACCGAAGCUUGCUUCGCCGAAAAUCAAGAGUAGCGAACGGGUGAGUAACGCGUGGGUAACCUACCUUUCAGCGGGGGAUAACUAUUGGAAACGAUAGCUAAUACCGCAUAACAAUGUUGGAUGCAUAUUCGACAUUUGAAAGUACCAACUGGUACACUGAGAGAUGGACCCGCGUUGUAUUAGCUAGUUGGUAGUGUAAUGGACUACCAAGGCGAUGAUACAUAGCCGACCUGAGAGGGUGAUCGGCCACAUUGGGACUGAGACACGGCCCAAACUCCUACGGGAGGCAGCAGUAGGGAAUCUUCGGCAAUGGACGAAAGUCUGACCGAGCAACGCCGCGUGAGUGAAGAAGGUUUUCGGAUCGUAAAACUCUGUUGUUAGAGAAGAACGUUGCAUAGAGUGGAAAAUUAUGCAAGUGACGGUAUCUAACCAGAAAGGGACGGCUAACUACGUGCCAGCAGCCGCGGUAAUACGUAGGUCCCGAGCGUUGUCCGGAUUUAUUGGGCGUAAAGCGAGCGCAGGUGGUUUAAUAAGUCUGAUGUAAAAGGCAGUGGCUCAACCAUUGUGUGCAUUGGAAACUGUUAGACUUGAGUGCAGUAGAGGAGAGUGGAAUUCCAUGUGUAGCGGUGAAAUGCGUAGAUAUAUGGAGGAACACCGGUGGCGAAAGCGGCUCUCUGGACUGUCACUGACACUGAGGCUCGAAAGCGUGGGUAGCAAACAGGAUUAGAUACCCUGGUAGUCCACGCCGUAAACGAUGAGUGCUAGUUGUUUGGGGCUAUCCAGCCCUAAGUGACGCAGCAAACGCAUUAAGCACUCCGCCUGGGGAGUACGACCGCAAGGGUUGAAACUCAAAGGAAUUUGAC